rnacentral:rRNA from 1 species
CCUACGGGAGGCAGCAGUCGAGAAUCAUUCACAAUGGGGGAAACCCUGAUGGUGCGACGCCGCGUGGGGGAAUGAAGGUCUUCGGAUUGUACACCCCUGUCAUGUGGGUGCAAAUUAAAAAGAUAGUACCACAAGAGGAAGAGACGGUUAACUCUGUGCCAGCAGACGCGGUAAUACAGAGGUCUAAAGCGUUGUUAGUAAUCACUGGGCGUAAAGCGUGCGUAGGCUGUUUCGUAAGGCGGGUGUGAAAGGCGCGGGCUCAACCCGCGGACGGCACAUGAUACUGCGAGACUAGAGUAAUGGAGGGGGAACCGGAAUUCUCGGUGUAGCAGUGAAAUGCGUAGAUAGCGAGAGGAACACUCGUGGCGAAGGCGGGUUCCUGGACAUUAACUGACGCUGAGGCACGAAGGCCAGGGGAGCGAAAGGGAUUAGAUACCCGGGUAGUC